rnacentral:rRNA from 1 species
GCAAGUCGAGCGCGAAAGGGAGCAAUCCUGAGUAAAGCGGCGCACGGGUGCGUAACACGUAGAUAACCUGCCCUUUGGAGGGGGAUAACGUUCCGAAAGGAGCGCUAAUACCGCAUACAGCAUUCUGGGGUUCGCCUUGGGAUGGCAAAGACUGGGACCCGCAAGGGCCAGUCGCCAAAGGAGGGGUCUGCGGCCCAUCAGCUAGUUGGUAAGGUAAUGGCUUACCAAGGCAAAGACGGGUAGCUGGUCUGAGAGGAUGAUCAGCCACACUGGUACUGGAACACGGACCAGACUCCUACGGGAGGCAGCAGUGGGGAAUCUUGGUCAAUGGGCGCAAGCCUGAACCAGCGACGCCGCGUGAGUGAUGAAGGCCUUCGGGUUGUAAAGCUCUGUGGGGAGGGACGAAAGAACUCAGUCGAAUAGGCUGAGUAGUUGACGGUACCUCCUUAGCAAGCACCGGCUAACUCUGUGCCAGCAGCCGCGGUAA